rnacentral:tRNA from 1 species
UGUAAUAAAGUGUAAAAGGCAUAUUGUAUUUUGGUUACAAGGGUGAAUAGUUUCUGUUACUU